GGGGUCCAGGCAAUCUCAUUAUUUCUAGCGUCUCAUGGCCGUGUUUGCGUGUUUUGCAAGCCAUGCCCUGUUUUUUUUUUUUGGUUUUUUUACUGCAGUUGGUAAACUGUGUUGGUAGCAGUGCUAUCUACCUGUAGCUGUUGUGCUAUUUCUGAAGUUGUUUGGUUUUCUGAAAUAUUUUGCUAUUGCUUCUUGAAGUUGAAGAAAUUUGUUGCUGUUAUGAUCUGGUGUUGUGGAGCAAGGCCUCGGAGUCUAGUGCUUCCAUGAGGUGCCCAGGUUCCCACGGUUCAGGCAUGAAAGUGACUAUCCGUUAGCUGGAUCAACUGCUAUUAUGUGUGUUGUCUCUUAAGUCUGCUUCAAGUGCUAUUAUGUGUGUUAUCUGCUAUCUUGUUCAUGUGCCAGUGAGAUAAUUUUCUUUUCUUUUGCAAAGCGAGUGUUGAUUGACCUAAGUGUUGAUGGAGUAGUACAUCAGCCACUUGAUCAUUAUUUGUUUCAUGUAA